rnacentral:rRNA from 1 species
AACGAACGCUGGCGGCAGGCUUAACACAUGCGAGUCGAGCGCCCCGCAAGGGGAGCGGCAGACGGGUGAGUAACGCGUGGGAAUCUACCUUUUGCUACGGAAUAACGCAGGGAAACUUGUGCUAAUACCGUAUGUGCCCUUCGGGGGAAAGAUUUAUCGGCAAAGGAUGAGCCCGCGUUGGAUUAGCUAGUUGGUGGGGUAAGGGCCUACCAAGGCGACGAUCCAUAGCUGGUCUGAGAGGAUGAUCAGCCACAUUGGGACUGAGACACGGCCCAAACUCCUACGGGAGGCAGCAGUGGGGAAUAUUGGACAAUGGGCGCAAGCCUGAUCCAGCCAUGCCGCGUGAGUGAUGAAGGCCUUAGGGUUGUAAAGCUCUUUCACCGGUGAAGAUAAUGACGGUAACCGGAGAAGAAGCCCCGGCUAACUUCGUGCCAGCAGCCGCGGUAA